rnacentral:rRNA from 1 species
GACGACGCUGGCGGCGUGGAUUAGGCAUGCAAGUCGAACGGUAUCAUCCUUUCGGGGGUGAGAGAGUGGCGAACUGGUGAGUAACACGUAGGUUAUCUACCCUCAAGACGGGGACAACCCAGGGAAGCUUGGGCUAAUACCGGAUGUGAGCAACUUUUAGUUGUUUGAAAGGUGGCGUAAGCUGUCGCUUGGGGAUGAGCCUGCGUCCUAUUAGUUAGUUGGUGAGGUAACGGCUCACCUAGGCAAUGAUAGGUAGGCGGCCUUAACGGGUGGUCGCCCACACUGGGAUUGAGAUACGGCCCAGACUCCUACGGGAGGCAGCAGUCGAGAAUAGUCUACAAUGGUCGGAAGACUGAUAGUGCGACGCCGCGUGAACGAUGAAUCCCUUCGGGGUGUAAAGUUCUUUUAUAUGUGAGCAGUGCUUCUUAUAUUAACAGUAUGGGGAGAGAGAUAUUAGCAUAUGAAUAAGCAACGGCUAACUCCGUG